rnacentral:lncRNA from 1 species
GUUGGGUAGUGGAUUGGGAGUCUGAAGUUGAUCUGACAGAAGGGAGAUCUGGGUGCUGAUAUUCUGUAAUGUUUCCAUGAUACCUUAAGGCAUAUUUUAAUGCUGUCCAAGACAGAUUGCCUGGUCGGUGAGGGCCAUUCUGAUCGAGUCAGGGUUUGCUGGGUCCAUGGGUGAUGUGGAGAGUUGGUACCCAAAAUGCAAAACCAGACUGGGGAAAGGUAAAACAGGUUUAUUUUGGAGGUAACGCGGGUGAGGAGUGCGUCCAAAGCCCAAGAAAGUGUGCUGGGUUGUGGGCUGGUGAGAGGCACGGAGGGAAGCACUGGAAAAAGAAAAGUGAAGCUUAAACACAAGGAUCCAAAAAAAAUAAAAAAAACUAGGGCCCCGUUGGGGCACUGGCGGGCCCGAGCCGCGUCGCGCCGCCCCCAGCGCGACCGCCUCCCCGUCCCAUUCGUGCCCUCUGGCCAUCGCCCUCUCUGGUGACGCCCAUCACUGCAAAGACCCUUUUCCUUCAUCGGUGUUUGCUGUUCUUCCUGCCAUUGCGUGUUGCUUUCACUUACACUUGCCACAGCCAGCCUCGUGAGUGCCUGGCCUGGUUUGACCUUUGCUCACCAUGACUGUGUGACCUUGGUAUCAGCUACUUGGGAAGUUCAACCGUUGUGGCAAAGCUUUGUUUGCGUGCUGUGCUCAACCACCUAUUUUCUAUGGAUGUGUAAGUAAACCACUUUCUUUCUUACACAAUGACACACUCAUACUUAUCACUCACUGCUACUGAUGUGCUCUGUUAGUAUGCAUGCAGGAAACCUGAUGAAUGAAGAAAUGCCCAGACUAGCCAACAUCUCAAUAAAUUAUGAGGUAUGACAUCACUUGAAUGGUUUCCUUGGACUAUGCUUCCAUUAUUCUAAUUCUGUAAUAAAAAGAAAUUUUGUCCAAAAGGACUGUUGUUGUUUUUUCUUCUAAUAAUUAACAUAUUUAACAUAAUUAACAUUCAAUAUGCGCUCAUUACACACGUGCACACUCUUUGAUGAUCUGAGAAGCAGAGCUUAAAGGACAGUAGGAGUAGCUGAACAAAGUGUAUUUGUAGGAAAGCCGUAAGAGCUAUUGAAACGCCGUUUUCGCGGGUUGAAAGGUUAGGGUGUCCACCAAAGGUCAGAGGUCAAAUAACAUUUGUAUCUCAAACUGUGACGUCAAAGUCAAGGUCCAAAGAUGGUGUGCGCACCUGUCUUUGGUCAUUUCCCAUUAUAAUGAAUGGGAGGCACAGUUUCUACCAAAACGCUCGCUGCAGACAAACUACAUGUCCUAUUUGAAAAAACUCUGGACCAUGAGUGAGGGCACAAACACAGCUAGGACAUAUCCACAUGGCAAGUUGCUCCUCCUUUUGGUUUUAGCGGGAGAGCAAUGCGUUUGAGCCAUUAAGCGAUGGGCUGGAAAAACUUGACUUUUUCUCCUGCCAUGGGGGGGGGGGGCGCUCUUUUGGGGAGAAAAAAUUCCUUCACAGAUGUGUUGAUGGCUGCACAUUGCAUCAUCCUAGAAAACUUGGAGGCCAGUGAGGACAAAAAUAAAAAGUUAUAAGACUUUUAAAAAUGUGGAUAUUUGGGUCAUCUUUGGCGCCCCCUAGAACCUAAACCGUGGGGUGCAGCGUCAUGAUUUGUACAACUUUGAAUGGCCAUGGGGUGUAGAUUGGCCUGAGCAAAUUUGGUGUCAGUAGAACGAAAGCCUUAGGAGGAGUUAGCCACAUUCCAAUGUGUGCGAAUCGGCAAAAAAUGCAAGAUAGCCCUUUAACCGUACAUUUUACAGAUAUGUGCCCAUUGACUUUUUCGUAGAUCUUAUUGAGAUACACGUGUGUGUCAAAUUUUGUGUCAAUAUGACAAAGCGUAUAGGCGUGACACUGAACAAUGUGUAUUUUCACCUUAGGGGACAAGAAAAAAUGGCCUUUUUUUUCCUGCCAUGGGGGGGGCGCUGUUUUGGGGAGUAAAAAUUCCUUCACAAAUGUGUUGAUGGCUGGACAUUGCAUCAUCCUAGAAAACUUGGAGGCCAAUGAGGACAAAAAUAAAAAGUUAUAAGAUUUUUAAGAAUGUGGAUUUGUGGGUUAUCUUUGGCGCCCCCUAGAACGUAAACCGUGGGGUGCAGCGUCAUGAUUUGUACAACUUUCAAUGGCCAUGGGGUGUAGAUUGGCCUGAGCAAAUGUAGUGCUGGUGGAACGAAAGCCUUCGGAGGAGUUAGCGAAAUUCCAAUGUGUGCGGAACGGCAAAAAAUGCGAAAUUACCCUUUAACCGUACAUUUGACAGAUACGCCCGCACUGACUUUUUUGUAGAUCUUAUUGAGAUACAUGUGUGUGUCAAUUUUUGUGUCAAUAUGACAAAGCGUACAGACGUGACAGUCAAUAGUGUGAAUUUUCACCUUUGGGGGCGCUAUUGAGCCAUUUUGCAUUUUCUUGUUUGGGCGGCUUCAGAAUAUCGAAUUUUUCACCAGGCCCGGUCGUCCUGCCAAAUUUCAUGAGUUUUCGCCAGUGGGAAGUGGGCCAUUUUCCAGUUUAAAGCGGAGGAAAAAUAAUAAUAAUAACUAGGGCCCCGUUGGGGCACUGGCGGGCCCGAGCUGUGUCGCCCCCCCCCCCCCCCCCCCAACGCGCUGCCUCCCCGUCCCAUUCGCGUCCUCUGGCCAUCGUCCUCUCUGGUAACACCCAUCACUGCAAAGACCCUUUUCCUUCAUCGGCGUUUGCUGUUCUUCCUGCCAGUGCGUGUUGCUUUCACUUACACUUGCCACAGCCAGCCUCGUGAGUGCCUAGCCUAUUGGAUAUCACUGUCACCUACACAGGACAGUCAUUACCUUUCUAUUAAUACUUUGUUUUUUAAUUUCACAUUAAUUUCCAUAUUGUAUAAACGACUGGAAAAAACUUGAGCCCCUGCCCCCGUAUAAUCAUGUGCACGUCCCUGUUCUCGCUCCAAGGUGAAUCUUCACUGCUCAUGUUCUCCUCAGAAGCAGUCACCUCACUCCCCUCAGGUUACUGUACACAUGCACCAACUGCCUGCUUCAGGUUUGGAUGGAGCUUCAUGGUUGUCUUUUGGAGAAAUGAGCAGUCAAGUUGUGUUAGAAAUUUGAUUUUUUUCAGGGGCAAAAGGAAGCCUCUGCAUUGUUGUCAAAUAUGUAAAUAGCAUGUUUUUGCAGGUGCUAAAAAACAGACUCUGAGUGUGUGUGUGUGUGUCUGUGUGUGUGUGUGUGUGUGUGUGUGUCUGUGUGUGUGUGUGUCUGUGUGUGUGUAUCCUGCAGUACUCUGUACUCCUGCAGUGGCCAAAACGACUUUUAAGAAUGUGGAUAUUUGGGUCAUCUUUGGCGCCCCCUAGAACGUAAACCAUGGGGUGCAGCGGCAUGAUUUUUACAACUUUGAAUGGCCAUGGGGUGUAGAUUGGCCUGAGCAAAUUUGGUGUCAGUGGGACGAAAGCCUUAGGAGGAGUUAGCCACAUUCCAAUGUGUGCGAAUCGGCAAAAAAUGCAAAAUAGCCCUUUAGCCGUACAUUUUACAGAUACGCGCCCAUUGACUUUUUCGUAGAUCUUAUUGAGAUACACGUGUGUGUCAAAUUUUUUGUCAAUACGACAAAGCGUACAGGCGUGACACUCAACAAUGUGUAUUUUUACCUUAGGGGACAAGAAAAAAUGGACUUUUUAUUCCUGCCAUGGGGGGGCGCUCUUUUGGGGAGUAAAAAUUCCUUCACAAAUGUGUUGAUGGCUGGACAUUGCAUCAUCCUAGAAAACUUGGAGGCCAGUGAGGACAAAAAAAAAAAUUUAUAAAACUUUUAAGAAUGUGGAUUUUUGGGUUAUUUUUGGCGCCCCCUAGAACCUAAACCAUGGGGUGCAGCAUUAUGAUUUGUACAACUUUGAAUGGCCAUGGAGUGUAGAUUGGCCUGAGCAAAUGUGGUGCCGGUGGAACGAAAGCCUUCGGAGGAGUUAGCGAAAUUCCAAUGUGUGCGGAUCUGCAAAAAAUGCAAAAUAACCCUUUAACCGUACAUUUGACAGAUACGCCCGCACUGACUUUUUUGUAGAUCUUAUUGAGAUACAUGUGUGUGUCAAUUUUUGUGUCAAUAUGACAAAGCGUACAGGCGUGACAGUCAAUAGUGUGAAUUUUCACCUUAGGGGGCGCUAUGGAGCCAUUUUGCAUUUUCUUGUUUGGGCGACUUCAGAAUAUCGAAUUUUUCACCAGGCCCGGUCGUCCUGCCAAAUUUCAUGAGUUUUCGCCAGUGGGAAGUGGGCCAUUUUCCAGUUUAAAGCGGAGGAAAAAUAAUAAUAACUAGGGCCCCGGUGGGGCACUGUCGGGCCCGAGCCGCGUCGUGCUGCCCACAGCGUGACCGCCUCCCCCUCCCGAUCGCGUCACACUCAAGGUCCAAAGAUGGUGUGCGCACUUGUCUGUGGUCAUUUCCCAUUAUAAUGAAUGGGAGGCGCAGUUUCUACCAAAACACUCGCUGCAGACAAACUUCAUGUCCUAUUUGAAAAAAGUCUGGACCAUGAGUGAGGGCACAAACACAGCUGGGAUAUAUCCAAAUGGCAGGUUGCUCCUCGUUACGGUGUUGCCUGGAGAGCGAUGCGAUUGAGCCAUUGAGCGAUGGGCAGGAAAAACUUGACUUUUUCUCCUGCCAUGGGGGGGGGAGAAUGUGGAUUCUUUUAAGAAUGUGGAUUUUUUGGUCAUCUUUGGCGCCCCCUAGAACGUAAACCGUGGGGUGCAGCGUCAUGAUUUUUACAACUUUGAAUGGCCAUGGGGUGUAGAUUGGCCUGAGCAAAUUUGGUUUCAGUGGGACGAAAGCCUUAGGAGGAGUUAGCCACAUUCCAAUGUGUGCGAAUCGGCAAAAAAUGCAAAAUAGCCCUCUAACCGUACAUUUGACAGAUACGCACGUAUUGACUUUUUCGUAGAUCUUAUUGAGAUACACGUGAUUGUCAAAUUUUGUGUCAAUAUGACAAAGCGUACAGGUGUCACACUCAACAAUGUGAAUUUUCACCUUACGGGACAAGAAAAAAUUGACUUUUUUCUCCUGCCAUGGGGGGCGCUCUUUUGGGGAGUAAAAAUUCCUUCACAAAUGUGUUGAUGGCUGGACAUUGCAUCAUCCUAGAAAACUUGGAGGCCAGUGAGGACAAAAAUAAAAGUUAUAAGACUUUGAAAUAUGUGGAUUUUAGGUUUAUCUUUGGCGCCCCCUAGAACCUAAACCGUGGGGUGCAGCGUCAUGAUUUGAAUAACUUUUAAUGGCCAUGGGGUGUAGAUUGGCCUGAGCAAAUGUGGUGCCGGUGGAACACCAGCCUUAGGAGGAGUUAGCGAAAUUCCAAUGUGUGCGGAUCAGCAAAAAAUGCGGAAUAACCCUUUAACCGUACAUUUGACAGAUACGCGCGCAUUGACUUUUUCGUAGAUCUUAUUGAGAUACAUGUGUGUGUCAAAUUUUGUGUCAAUAUGACAAAGCGUACAGGCGUGACACUCAACAAUGUGUAUUUUCACCUUAGGGGAAAAGAAAAAAUGGACUUUUUUCUCCGGCCAUGGGGGGGCGCUCUUUUGGGGAGUAAAAAUUCCUUCACAAAUGUGUUGAUGGCUGGACAUUGCAUCAUCCUAUAGAACUUGGAGGCCAGUGAGGGCAAAAAUAAAAAGUUAUAAGACUUUUAAAUAUGUGGAUUUUAGGGUUAUCUUUGGCGCCCCCUAGAACCUAAACCGUGGGGUGCAGCGUCAUGAUUUGAAUAACUUUUAAUGGCCAUGGGGUGUAGAUUGGCCUGAGCAAAUGUGGUGCCGGUGGAAAGAAAGCCUUCGGAGGAGUUAGCGAAAUUCCAAUGUGUGCGGAUCGGCAAAAAAUGCGGAAUAACCCUUUAACCGUACAUUUGACAGAUACGCCCGCACUGACUUUUUUGUAGAUCUUAUUGAGAUACAUAUGUGUGUCAAUUUUUGUGUCAUUUUGACAAAGCGUACAGGCGUGACAGUCAAUAGUGUGAAUUUUCACCUUAGGGGGCGCUAUGGAGCCAUUUUGCAUUUUCUUGUUUGGUCGACUUCGGAAUAUCAAAUUUUUCACCAGGCCCGGUCAUCCUGCCAAAUUUCAUGAGUUUUCGCCAGUGGGAAGUGGGCCAUUUUCCAGUUCAAAGGGGAGGAAAAAGAAGAAAGAAAGAAACAAAGAAA